rnacentral:rRNA from 1 species
CAGUAGCCGCGGUAAUACGAGGGGGGCAAGCGUUGUUCGGAAUUAUUGGGCGUAAAGGGUGCGUAGGCGGUUUGGCAAGUUUGGUGUGAAAUCUUCGGGCUCAACUCGAAGUCUGCAUCGAAAACUGCCGGGCUUGAGUAUGGGAGAGGUGAGUGGAAUUUCCGGUGUAGCGGUGAAAUGCGUAGAUAUCGGAAGGAACACCUGUGGCGAAAGCGGCUCACUGGACCAUAACUGACGCUGAUGCACGAAAGCUAGGGGAGCAAACAGGAUUAGAGACCCCCGUAGUCCCUGUCUCUUAUAC